UAAAGGAAGCAGAAGUUCUAACUGAAACUCUUGAAAGUAAUAGAUCUUAAUGUGGAUUCAAUUCUCUAUCAGUGGCAGAUUCCUGCACUGUAGAUAACAGGUGCCUGUGGGGACGAGCUCUGAAAAUUGUCAAGGCAGCCUGACACAUCAAACACCAUGCACAAGACAUGAGGGGCUUUUUCACACACAAGAAAAAUGUCCACAUUCAAGCUAAAUAUCAGGUAAAAUAUGAAGGAAUCGGUGUCAUGUCCACAGCGAACUGAGUCAUGCAUCUAUCUGUGCCUGGCAUGUUGGGAGCUGCAACCUUCAGCUCAGCUAUUCUGUGCUGGGGGCAACUUACCAGAGUGGCUGAACCACCCCCGCGCACUCUGUUCUCUCCCACCAGGCCCUGGGUUGGGUGGAACCAAGUGAGGAACUGGGCUCUUAUCUCCUCUUUCUUUCCAUCACCCUAAACCUCAUGGGUUGCACAUAAAUAUGGUUCCUUUAACCAAUAUGUUUGAACAAUCCUAGCUUUCCUGGGCCAGGUUUAAAUAUACCUAAGAAAGCAGGGUUGAGCCAAAAGUGCCGUACAGUGUAAACUCUAUAAAAGCAGAAAACUAUCAUCCCAUUCUUGAUGCCUGUGGUGCCUGGCACAAUUCUGGGCAUCAACAAUGAGGACUGGCACUUAGUCCUGGGAAUAAGAGGGAAGAGUGAAGAAGAGGAAACAUGAUCUAUUCACUCAUAAGUUCACAUAUGUUUAAAGAGACACAACACUCAAAAGCCUAGAUGUAAACAUGGUAAUGCUUUCAUAGAAGUACAUGCAAGAUACUUCAGGCUCACUGAGGAUGGAGCGCCUGCAGGACAUGGUCAUGUUUCAAUAAAUGUUGAAGAAAUACUCAGAGGGGUUCCACAUUCUGGGUCUGUUGUUUCAGACGGGUCAUUUUCCAGAAUGCUACCCCAUUCCUUAUUUCUCCAGCCAACAAGAACUGGCAUUUCUGGAGUGCUUAACCAGGAGGCAUGUGCCAUGGUAGGCAUGCUGAUUUGUUGCUUUUAAUCCUUCAAAGAGUUCUGUUCCAUAAAUAUAUUAUAUCUAAACAUAGUUACACCGAUUUCAGAGAUGUAGAAAUUGAGGCUCACAAAAUAGGUCAUUUCCCAAAUACACAGUAGUUGUAAGGAGCUAUAGUAAGGUUUCAAACAUAAUUUUACAUUACACACCAAUCACAUCAGCCUGGUAUACCACUGGAGAACAGGAGAAAGAAAAUCUUCUCUCCUAAGGAGAUGUGUACACAUUCAAUCUCCCUCCUCCUAAUUCUUCAAGUACUAUAUUUCUUAGGUGCUUUUGGUUUUAUCAAUACCUCACAAUGACUUCUAUUUGCUUUAUUAAAAACUAGGAAAAAAGAAAAGCCUAGAAUCUCUACAUACCCAGUCAAUACCAUCUCCUCCUGUGUCCACCAAAUUACCCUGGAAAAAACUUUGUAGUUGACUAAUGGUUACAAC